ensembl:lncRNA
CCCACAGAGAAAGAGCAGCAUCCCCCUGGGCCCCCUUGGCUCGCCCCCAGCAUGGGAGAUGUGGGCUGCACGGGCUCCAAAUCUGCCUUUUUGACCAUAAAAGGGCAGAAAUUCUGCAGCCCCGGCGGGAGGAUGGGAAAGGAAAGGCAGAGCUAUUUAUAGCCGAGCAUCAGGACCGCAGCCUGAACUCGGGGUUAAUCAGCCUGUGACCAGAUUAGGAUCUCCCUUGGCCCCAUCAUUUUCUCAUAAACCUUUGAUUUAAUACUACACAGGAGCGGCCACUGCAGAGAGGGGAAAGGGCGCAGUGUUGUAACCGCGGGGAGGGCUCUGACGCAGCCCAGCAUUGCCGGCUCGCCCAGCCGGGGACGCGGCUCCGCGGAGCAGAGGCGGAGCCUUGGCCAUGGGAGUACCCAGGGACACAGCCAUCACUGGAGAUGCUGGAGGUGAACAGAGACUGUACAUCCCCGGACAGCGAGAGAAGGGCAGAGCUGGUGUGCCAGCAUACUGCCUGCACUGGUUGCCCUUUGGGCGCUGGCAGCAGCACGCACAAACCCAGCAGCCCCCUGAACAGGGCUGGCUCCCUGGGCAGUGCUGAGCCUGGGGUAGCUUCCUGCUGAAAGCAGUCUGGUCCCUUCCCAAGGAGCUGCUCACAAGGAAUGCAUGGGGCUGGGAGGCUGAGCUCUGCCAUGGGGCAGCGGGCCGUCAGGAGGGGCCUGUGAGCAGUGCUGCCCCAUGGCACUGAGCCCUGUGGCUGUUCCCACACUUGGCCAGUGCUCAGGGCUGGCCUGGCCUGAGCUGGGAGCAGGGACAGCCAGCACUGGCAGAGGCGGCUCCCAGACAUCCCUCCCGGGUGACUCACGCCGUGAUCUGUGCAUGGAGUUUGGGGCACUGUGAGCCUCUUCCCUUUCUUUUCUCCCAAUAAAUCGGGGCUGCGGAGCUGGGGGGUGGCGGCUGGGGGAGCGUGGAGCGAGCAGAGGCUGUGGGUGCCCAUUUCCCAGCUGGGUGCGCUCAGGGGGGGCCAUGCCGGAUGCAGGGAGUCGUGCUGGAGCUGCACCAUCUGCUUCUUGUCAGGCUGCUGGGAGCACCGCGGCUCCAGGGCCGGCAGUGGGACAUGGCUGUGAUGGAUGGUGUGUUUAUCAUGCUCUAGCGCUACUCAGGAUGUUAGUGCUCGCCUGCAAGAGAUGUUUCUGUGCUCGGCUGCUCCCUCCAUCCUCUCCUCCUCCUUCUCUCCCCAGACCCUCUCCCUUGAGCCCACACGGGGGGGUGGGGGUGUCCGUCCCACAGCCUCCAGCCCUGCCUGUGGCUGAGCUCCCAGGACCAGCACUGAAGCCUUCCCACAGAGGAGCUGCAGGCUCCUCUGGUGAGGACAGGAAUGGAGACAGGGACAGGGCUCCGCAGGGCUUGCACAUGCUCCUCAUCCCCCGGGGGACAUAAAGGAACAGAGUGCAGGGAGAAUGUACUGUGUGAGACCUGCAUCCCACAUCACCUCGGGGGCAUCCUGGCCCCAUACUGUACAGCCACCCCAGCAGCCACAUCCAUGUAGUUUGAGACUACAGGCAGUGACUCCCCAGUGCUGGGCCAGGUUCCGGGUCCUACGGCCCCACAGACGCACAGUUGGGAUGCGGCAGUGGGCGGUGUGCAGCCCUUCUCCAAGCACAGAGGUUUAUCUGUGCGAUGCCGCAGCCAGCCCAGCCCCAUCCCCCCCACCAGCCCCCAGCCUCAUCUAUCCUGCAGCCGCGAUGCCUGGCAGAACAGCCACACACAGCCAUGCGUGGCACAGCACACAUCGAGAGCAGCUGGGGGCUCCUCCAUGUCUCCCAGCCCAAGGUGCAGUGCUGCAUCUCUGGUCAAUUGGGAGUCUGAGAUGAAGCACUGUAGCUCGGGAAGGGAGGAACUGUGCCCUGGGACCCCACCACCCCCCGGACUGCCGCCUGCUGGGAGCACUGAUGCCAGCGGAACAUGGGAACUGCGCAGUGAGACGGGAGCACAGCUUGUGACUGGAUGUGGGGGUCUGCCCUGCAGCCCCCCCCCCCCCUCUGUCUCUGGGGCUGGGUCCCCAACUGUGGGAGAAGGGGCUCUCCCAGCCGUGUUUUUGGACACUGCCUCUGAUGGAGAAGCACAGAGAACGGAGCCUGCAGACACGCAGCGUGUCCCCCUGAAGAUCCCAUAGGGGCUGCUGACCCCCAGCCAUGGGGCAGGGCUCACCCCUCUGCUCUGUAUCCUGCGAGGGAAGGGCAGAGGAGGAGAGGUUUGCUUUGAGGCAGAGGAACACCCCUACGCCCGGUCAGGACUCCCAGAGCUCCCAGCUCUGUGGGGGGGGGGAGGGCACGAAUGCUGCGUGGGGACAGCUGGGUCACACACAGAGCGGCCAGAGGAGCAGCUGUGCAGGGCGGGGGCCGCUGGGAGCCGCGGUCGCCGUGCUCUCAGGGUCCAGUUUUCCCAGGAAUCCCUUAGGCGCUACGUUGGGGAUUCCUGGAAAUACUGUUCUUGGGGCCACGGCUCUGCACCUGGAGACAGCCCGACCCCGAGCGGAGCCGCAGCCCCGCGGGAGCCAGGGACGAGGUACGGGGCCGCGGCCGCGAGUGGGACCCCCCGGGCGG